rnacentral:tRNA from 1 species
GCCGGGAUGGCGGAAUUGGUAGACGCACCUGACUUAGGAUCAGGCGAGUUUUCUUGUGCAGGUUCGAGUCCUGUUCCCGGUA